AUUCCGUGAUGAGGGCACUUCCGUAAUAAUUCUUUGUUCCUUUCCCAUGCCUCAUACAAGGACUCAUCAUCCAUGUGUUGGAAAUUAGUGAUCUCAUUCCUUAACUU
rfam:Gossypium raimondii chromosome 9, whole genome shotgun sequence.